GGAGUUUGGGCCGUGUCUCAGUCCCAAUGUGGCCGUCCGACCUCUCAGUCCGGCUACAGAUCGUCGCCUUGGUGGGCCUUUACCUCACCAACUAGCUAAUCUGACGCGGGCCCAUCUCAUACCACCGGAGUUUUUCACACUGUACCAUGCGGUACCGUGCGCUUAUGCGGUUUUAUCAGUCGUUUCCAACUGCUAUCCCCCAGUAUGAGGCAGGUUGCCCACGCGUUACUCACCCGUCCGCCACUAAGUAUACUCAAGCUUCGACCGAAAUCUCUGCAGCGAAUAUACUCCGUUCGACUUGCAUGUGUUAGGCACGCCGCCAGCGUUCAUC
rnacentral:rRNA from 1 species